rfam:Triticum aestivum genome assembly, contig: Triticum_aestivum_CS42_TGACv1_scaffold_055387_1BS
GGAUGCGAUCAUACCAGCACUAAAGCACCGGAUCCCAUCAGAACUCCGAAGUUAAGCAUGCUUGACCGAGAGUAGUACUAGGAUGGGUGACCUCCUGGGAAGUCCUCGUGUUGCAUUCC